CAGUACCAGGCUUAAAAAGAAAAAAGUCCUGGGGUCAAGUCAUUCGACUAAAAGUUCUUCGAGGUGAUGCCCCAGCAUGGCCACAAUCUAAUGGCUGAAAUAAGAAAAAGAUUAAAAAUAAAAAGACUUGUAGGGAAAAUAUAAAUCUUGGGGUUUGAUUUGUUCAAUUUGAACCCUUCAAGGCUCUACUGUUCAACCGAAAAAAAUAAUUUUUUACUUCUUUCAUUUGGAGCAUGAGGAAGAGGAAAAAAAAUCUAAUUUAGAGAGAUUUAGUCAAAUAUUCCACUUUUCCAUUUAUAAAACUGAUUGUUUGGAACAGAACAGAACAGAACGGAGACGAUAAAAGAUUCUCAUUUGAAAUUCUUCUCCUGGGUGGUUUUUUAAUUUAAAUAUAACAAAGAGGUUUUGUAUCGGAGAAGAAGCCGAACUGGAAUCAAGAGGGUUAAGAGACCAUUGAUAUUACAUGACGAUAUGUGUGCUAUGCUUUAAUAUCGCCGUUUCUUUAUUUUUGUUUUUUUGUUUUUUUUGUAUUUUUUUUUUAACCAUUUCAUUUCUUUAUUGUUGUUAAUUACAUUUUUUCUCUCUCUCUCUCUCUAUUUUCUAGAUUAAAAAAUUUCAGACUCUGGAUACUGAUGAGGACAGGAUUAAACAAGCCAGAGAUAUUUAUGACCAGUUUAUUAUGAGAGAAUUGCUGGCACAAUGUCACGAAUACACAAAAACAGCUAUCAAUAAUGUGCAAGAUGCCCUUACUAAAGCAAGAAAAACUAAACAGCUUGGAAACCACAUUUUUAAU